rnacentral:lncRNA from 1 species
GGGCUCGAGCAACAACGAACAAGUCCAAGUAGAUUAGGAUAAGUUAUAUCCAAAAGGACCUAUGGAUCUCAAAUUCUUAGAUGCUAACUUCACCAAAGAAGAAGUUAGCUUUGCUGUGUUUAGCUUGGCCAGGGACAACGCUCCUAAGCUAGAAGAUUUUUGGCUUUGUUCUACCAAUGCUAUUGGGAGACAAGCAAAUC